UAUUAUUUUGGCAGAUUAGUGCGAUGAAUUUAGAAUUCAGGAAUAUAAUUUUUAUUAUAAAUAAUA
rnacentral:tRNA from 1 species